rnacentral:rRNA from 1 species
UACAGAGGUCUCAAGCGUUGUUCGGAAUCACUGGGCGUAAAGGGUGCGUAGGCCGCACGGAAAGUCAGAGGUGAAAUCCCGGAGCUCAACUUCGGAAUUGCCUCCGAUACUCCCGUGCUUGAGGACUGGAUAGGAGUCUGGAAUUCACAGUGGAGCAGUGAAAUGCGUAGAUAUUGUGAGGAACACUAGUGGCGAAGGCGAGACUCUGGACAGUUCCUGACGCUGAGGCACGAAGGCCAGGGGAGCAAACGGG